GACGAACGCUGGCGGCGUGCUUAACACAUGCAAGUCGAACGGAAAGGCCCUGCUUUUGUGGGGUGCUCGAGUGGCGAACGGGUGAGUAACACGUGAGUAACCUGCCCUUGACUUUGGGAUAACUUCAGGAAACUGGGGCUAAUACCGGAUAGGAGCUCCUGCUGCAUGGUGGGGGUUGGAAAGUUUCGGCGGUUGGGGAUGGACUCGCGGCUUAUCAGCUUGUUGGUGGGGUUGUGGCUUACCAAGGCUUUGACGGGUAGCCGGCCUGAGAGGGUGACCGGCCACUUAGGGUCUGAGAUACGGCCCAGAAUCCUACGGGAGGAAGCAGUGGGGAAUAUUGCACAAGGGGCGGAGGCCUGGUGCAGAAACGCCGCGUGCGGGAUGACGGCCUUCGGGUGGUAGACCGCUUUCGCCUGUGACGAAGCGUGAGUGACGGUAAUGGGUAAAGAAGAAACGGCUAACUACGUG
rnacentral:rRNA from 1 species